rnacentral:lncRNA from 1 species
GCUGCCAGCAUGGCUAGAAUAAAAGCAGGCAGAGGAACAUGGAAGAACUAGACUGGCUUAGUCUCCUGUCCUACAUCUUCCUCCCAUGCUGGAUGCUUCCUGCCCUCGAACAUCAGACUCCAAGUUCUACUCUUGAACCUUGGACCCCCAACUGAGAGCUGCACUGUCAGCUUCCCUACUUUUGAGGUUUUGGGACUCAGAUUGGCUUCCUUACUCCUCAGCUUGCAGAUGGCCUAUUGUGGGACUUUACCUUGUGAUUGUGUCAGAAGUCUGACCCAGACCUCCCUGGACUAAACUCAAGAUGUCAUCAGAGGCUGGAGUGCAGUGGUGCAAUUAUGGAUCGAGGUUAACUGCAGUCUCAACUUCUCAACCUUGUGAAUUCAAGCAAUCCUCCCACCUCAGCCUCCCAAGUAGCCGGAACUACAGGCAUUUAACACCACAUCCAGCUAAUUUUUAAAAAAAUAUUUUGUAGAGACCGGGUCUCACCCUGUUGCCCAAGCUGAUCUCAAACUCCAUGGUUCGACCUCCUGAUGCCCAAAUCCUGGAAUUACAGGCAUAAGCCUCUGCACCUGGCUGCUUUCUUCCUCUCAAGAGCUUUUCAGAAUUCAAAUGGUUUGAAACUUUAUUGAGAUUAAAGUGAUCAUUUUUUUUUCUUUCUUUCUAUUUUGUUAUUAUUGUUGUCGUUUUGAGACAGAGUCUUACUCUGUCUCACAGGCGGGAGUGCAGUGGCAUAAUCUCGGCUCACGGAAGCCUCCACCUCCCGCAUUCAAGUGAUUCUCAUGUUUCAGCCUCCCAAGUAGCUGGGAUUACAGGUGUGUGCCACCAUGUCUGGCUAAUUUUGUAUUUUUAGUAGAGACGGGGUUUUGCCAUAUUGGCCAGCCUGGUCUCGAACUCCUGGCCUCAAGCGAUCCACCCGUCUCAGCCUCCCAAAGUGCUGGAAUUACAAGCAUGAGCCACUACACCUGGCCCAAUUUUUUUCUUUUAUGGUUCAAGUCUAUGAAUUCUUUUGUCUAUGCUUAGAUCCUGCAAAUUUUUUCCUAAAAGUUUUACAGUUUAACAUUUUACAUUUAAUUCCAUAAUUCAUUUUGAGUUAUUUUUUGUAAUAAAGUGUGAGGCUUAGGUCAAGGUGUUUUCUUUUAUUUGUUUUUGUUAUUGUUGUUUGUUUUGUUGCUGUUGAUGUCUACUUGUUCCAGUACCAUUUGCUGAAAAGACCAUCUUUUCUCCAUUGAUUAAUUUUGUAAGACCAUAACUCUUAACAUCAAAGAAGACACAACUUUAUCUAUAUUUUCUUAUAUCUAAGAAAAGCAGUAGUUUUUGUUUAGAGAGUGCUAAUUGUGUGCCAAAGCACUAUCCUAAGCUUCUUAUAUAUCUUUACCCAUUUCCUUGCCUCAAUGACUCAUUACUCAUUUAAUUGUCUUAAUAACUCCUUGAAGUAAGUAUUAUUGUUUCCAUCUCACAGAUAAUGAAACUAAAAUUUAGCCAGGUUAAAUGAUUUGCUCAAAGUCACAAAGCUAGUGAGUUGGAAAGCUGGGAUUCGGACCCAAGCGAUAUUCCCCUAAAGACUGUGCUGUUAACCUUCAUGAAUGCUGCAUUAUUUACAGUGCGCCAGAUAUUUAGCAAAAUACUGAACAUUUUGCUGUUUUUCUCACUGUUAUCACAAGGCAUUUCAACUAACGUAAUAAUAAAAGACUCUCUCCUCACAUCCCUUUUUUUAAGUUUCAUGUGUUUGAUGUUUUAUUCAUAUCAAAACCCUCAUGUCCAUGAAAAUACAAUUUAAGAGUCAAAAAGCAUAAAAUUAUAUUUCCAAAUUUGGAGUCUGUUUCACAAGCUGAAGCGCACAGUUUUGAUACCUUGACAAUCUUUCUG